AGCUGCUUUGUUGGUCUCCAGGUCCAAGGGCACCUGGCAUACUGACUGUCAACCUUCCUGCUUAGCCCAUUAGACAACACAGUUGUUCUCCAGGUCCAAGGACACAUGGGAAGCCUGUUUCCAAGGUGGUCACUCAAGCAGAGAGCUGAGUUGCUGGUCUCUGGGUCCAAAGGCACAUGAGUGCAGAAUUGUAAUUCAGGAUGUCAGUGGAAGAGGUGAGUAAGAUCAUAUCAUCUCAACAACCUAAUGUAAACAGAAACAGGACCUGAUGCUUAUGGAUUGAUGGGAGUGGACACCUACAUCAGAUUUAGAGUACGAGCACUUGUCUCCUAAGGCAGCUGAGUCACACAACUCAGUCACACACAGCCCUCAGCCUGCCAUUAUUAUUUGUUUACAUGCUGCUGGUGUCAU